rnacentral:piRNA from 1 species
UAGGAGACUCACCUAACACAUAAGGACUC